AAUCAACGCUGGCGGCGUGCCUAACACAUGCAAGUCGAACGCGAAAGCCCUUUCGGGGGUAAGUAGAGUGGCGUCCGGGUGAGUAACACGUAGGUAAUCUGCCUUCGGGUGGGGGAAUAACCAGUCGAAAGAUUGGCUAAUACCGCAUAAUGCAGCGGCACCUAAUGGUGAUUAGUUGUUAAAGCGGGGGAUCGUAAGACCUCGCGCCUGAAGAGGAGCCUGCGGCAGAUUAGCUAGNGGUGAGGUAAUGGCUCACCAAGGCUUCGAUCUGUAGCUGGUCUGAGAGGACGGCCAGCCACACUGGCACUGACACACGGGCCAGACUCCUACGGGAGGCAGCAGUGGGGAAUUUUGGGCAAUGGGCGAAAGCCUGACCCCAGCAACGCCGCGUGAGGGAGGAAAUCCUUCGGGAUGUAAACCUCACAAGCAA
rnacentral:rRNA from 1 species